GAUGAACGCUGGCGGCGCGCCUAACACAUGCAAGUCGAACGAUUAAAGCACCUUCGGGUGUGUAUAAAGUGGCGAACGGCUGAGUAACACGUGGGCAACCUGCCCCUUUCAUUGGGAUAGCCACGGGAAACCGUGGAUAAUACCGAAUACUUCGAGACUUCCGCAUGGAAGACUCGAGAAAGCUCCGGCGGAGAGGGAUGGGCCCGCGGCCUGUUAGCUUGUUGGUGGGGUAACGGCCUACCAAGGCAAUGAUGGGUAGCUGGGUUGAGAGACCGACCAGCCAGAUUGGGACUGAGACACGGCCCAGACUCCUACGGGAGGCAGCAGUGGGGAAUCUUGCACAAUGGGCGAAAGCCUGAUGCAGCGACGCCGCGUGCGGGAUGAAGGCCUUCGGGUUGUAAACCGUUUUCAGCAGGGACGAGGCGAAAGUGACGGUACCUGCAGAAGAAGCCCCGGCUAACUACGUG
rnacentral:rRNA from 1 species